GCGUCUGCCCAAGCAAACUCACCUGCAGGAGCAGGCCGGAACGUAUAUAUACCGUUUGACACGGGAUCGUCAAACCUCCUCCCAAUAGCUCCAUCUGGGCCUCCGAUAAUUCCUCUUCCCCAGCCUUCAUCUUUUGCGGUAUCGUGCAUGUCACUGCCACGGGUGCGGCGUGGAAAGAAAAUGCGUUUCGCUGGGUCCCUAGCAUGUUCAAGCGUAAUGUUGGGUGCCAUGUUACCGGUAAUUAAGCACCUUGCGAAUUUAGACCCGAAUAAUUCAUUCUGUUCCUAUGCCCAUCGAAUCUGGUACGAUUGAGGAAGAAGUAGUACUGGAGACAGCAAUCCUGCAAGUGGUCGGGGCACUGAUCACAGAAAGUGAAGCAUUGCAACCAACAUGACCGAAAGGGUUUUAGAGGUGGUUGCGACCAUCUCUCGGCCGUCCU
rnacentral:lncRNA from 1 species